rnacentral:rRNA from 1 species
GACGAACCGUGCGAACGUUAUUCGGAAUCACUGGGCUUAAAGCGCGUGUAGGCGGGACGGCACGUCGGUCGCUGAAAGCCCCCGGCUCAACCGGGGAACGGGCGCCGAUACGACCGCCCUGGAGGGACGUAGGGGGGACCUGGAACUUCCGGUGGAGCGGUGAAAUGCGUUGAGAUCGGAAGGAACGCCCGUGGCGAAAGCGGUUCUCUGGGCCUUACCUGACGCUGAGGAGCGAAAGCGUGGGGAGCGAACAGG